AAAGGACUGAAGUGAACUGCAGACCCUAAGAUGAUUCACUCCUGCUGGAGCUUGGAAUAUGCGGGCUAUUGGAUGAAACUGAUGUGGGAUACAGGAGGUCAAGCUUCCUGAGAGGAUUUGGAGAUGUUUCUUUCCACUGAAGACAGGAAAGACAGAAGAAAUGAUCAAUCUGCUUAGAGGGCAUGAACUCCAAAUGAAGCCAGAGUUUCAUGAAAUUAUAACAAUAGAAUAAGAUAUGAGUUCAUUCUCCUGGAUUACACAACAUGGAAGAGAAUUUAGAAUAAUGUGAUCAUCUUUGCGGCAGAAGGAAGUGUUCUGGAGGUUGAGAUAUCUGUCUUUCUCUUGUUUCUGCUCCUUCCACUUCCAGAUUUCAGUGUGGAUAUACCUGGAAGGACAAAAAAAAUUCAUUUUCUGAAAGAUAAAAAAUAAAACACUGUAAACUUGAUCUGAUAAACGAUUCUUCGAAAUGUAGAAGGUGUUUCAUAUAAUAGCAUAGCUCUUUGGUAAGUGUGUGUUAAAAGAAGAAACAUUUUCGACAAGAAAGUUUUAUUCAGUGUGCUGUUUCCCUGCUCCCCUGACAGAGUAAGUGACCACCUGAAUGCUAAGGAGCACCAAUUUGGGCUGAUACUCUCCGACAGCUGUAUUUGAAAGAAACAUAUUGUGUAAACCCACGCAUGUUAGUGAGAGAUGAGAAACAAUGACGCUCAGAGCAAUCUGAUGGGGUUCUCUAAUACGCUAUGCUGUUUGUGUCUCUACUUUGAUUAUCCUUAUGUCCCAAUUAUUAGCAGCCAUUAGUGCCCUCCGGAUAAAGCAAAGCAAAGAAAAACAAAACAAAACAAAGAUCUGUCAGUCUGCGACUGACAGAGAGGUCUUUGAGGUUACAGACGAAUUUAUUGGUUCUCUGUUUCUAAAUCUGUCAAAAAGACCUGAACAACUUCCUGAGAGAAAGAGGUUGAGAAACGAGCACCUGGAAGCAUUUCAUAGGUAGGCAGGCAUGAUACUUUUGGAGUUAAUUUCACCGUGAAUUAUAUUGAGCUCUCGGGCUGAGAAAGAAACUCCUCUUGUGAAAGAAAGGGAAAUGCCACAUUUCCAGAAGAGGUUGUAAGAUGCUCUGUCAGAUUCUGUUUGGGAAUGGUAUCAGCAAAGCUAGAAACUAAGCUUCUUUUGGGCCUUGUUGAAUAAUUUGAAUUCUGUCUUGAUUCUUACUUUCUGUUUUAAUUUUCAUACUUAAAGUUUUUAAAAUUUAAAGAAACAAUAAUUUAUUCCUCCUUAUUGGAUGAGAUUUGGUCUCCUUUCACUCCCAAAAUUAGUCUUAUGUGAUUCUCCUUAAUGCAAAAAGGUGCAGGGCUCACAAUUUUUAAUUGAAACAAACGCCCUUACGUGAUCAUAUACAGAAAAUACUGAAUAAAAAGUGCUAGAAGUGUUA